rnacentral:rRNA from 1 species
UGUGNCUAUGAGUUUAACGGCCGCGGUAUUUUGACCGUGCAAAGGUAGCGCAAUCACUUGUCUCUUAAAUGGAGACCUGUAUGAAUGGCAAGACGAGGGCUAAGCUGUCUCCUUUUCCAGGUCAGUGAAGUUGAUCCCCCCGUGCAGAAGCGGGGAUACCAUCAUAAGACGAGAAGACCCUAUGGAGCUUUAGACACUAGAAAGCCCAUGUCAAACAACCCCUUUUAAGGGCAAAAACUUAAUGGCAACUCAUCUAUUUGUCUUCGGUUGGGGCGACCGCGGGGGAAAAACCAGCCCCCAUGUGGAAUGGGAAUAUCUUUCCUACAGCCAAGAAGAACUUUUCUAAGCAACAGAAAUUCUGACCAAAAAUGAUCCGGCAAUGCCGAUCAACGGACCCAGUUACCCUAGGGAUAACAGCGCAAUCCUCUCCCAGAGUCCCUAUCGACGAGGGGGUUUACGACCUCGAUGUUGGAUCAGGACAUCCUAAUGGUGCAGCCGCUAUUAAGGG